rnacentral:rRNA from 1 species
CACUUGAGGUGUGCCAGCCGCCGCGGUAAAACGUAGGUCACAAGCGUUGUCCGGAAUUACUGGGUGUAAAGGGAGCGCAGGCGGGAGAACAAGUUGGAAGUGAAAUCCAUGGGCUCAACCCAUGAACUGCUUUCAAAACUGUUUUUCUUGAGUAGUGCAGAGGUAGGCGGAAUUCCCGGUGUAGCGGUGGAAUGCGUAGAUAUCGGGAGGAACACCAGUGGCGAAGGCGGCCUACUGGGCACCAACUGACGCUGAGGCUCGAAAGUGUGGGUAGCAAACAGG